rnacentral:lncRNA from 10 species
UAAUAUCCAGAAUAUAUAAAGAAUUCCUACAACUUGAUAACAAAAACACCCCAAUCUAAAAAUGGACACAGAAUUUAAAUAGACAUUUCUCCAAUGAAGAUGGCCACCACACAUGUGAAAAGAUGCUCAACAUCACUAAUCAUCAAGGGAAAUGCAAAUCAAAACCACAAUAGCACAAUGAGAUAUCAUUUCAGACCCCGUAUGAUGUUAGGAUGGCUACUUUCAAAAAAACAGAAAAUAAGUGUUGGUAAGGAAACACCUGCACACUGUUGAUGGGAUUAUAAAAUGGGCAGCCACUAUGGAAAAUAGUAUGGAGGUUCCUAAAAAAACUGCAAUUAGAAUUCCCAUAUGAUCCAGUCAUCUCCUACUGCAUAUAUAUCCAAAAGAAUUGAAAGCAGGAUCUUGAAAAGAUAUCUGCUCUCCUAUGUUCAUGCAGCAUUAUUCACAACAGCCAAGAUGUAGAGGUGAUUCAAAUGUCCAUCAGUGAAUGAAUAGAUAAAGAAAUGUGGUAUAUACAUACAAUGGAAUCUUAGCCUAAAAAAGAAAGAAUUCCUGUCAUAUGCUACAGCAUGGAUGAACCUUGAGGACCUUAUGAUGGAUUCUGCUCUGUCGCCCAGGCUGGAUUGCAGCGGUGUGAUCUCGGCUCACGGCAACCUCUGCCUCCUGGUUUCAAGCAAUUCUCAUGCUUCAGCUUCCUGGGUAGCUGGGAUUACAGGCGC